rnacentral:misc_RNA from 1 species
GAAAUGCGAUAACUAGUGUGAAUUGCAGAAUUCCGUGAAUCAUCGAGUCUUUGAACGCACAUUGCGCCCCCUGGUAUUCCGGGGGGCAUGCCUGUCCGAGCGUCAUUGCUGCCCAUCAAGCACGGCUUGUGUGUUGGGUCGUCGUCCCCUCUCCGGGGGGGACGUGCCCCAAAGGCAGCGGCGGCACCGCGUCCGAUCCUCGAGCGUAUGGGGCUUUGUCACCCGCUCUGUAGGCCCGGCCGGCGCUUGCCGAACGCAAAUCAAUCUUUUUCCAGGUUGACCUCGGAUCAGGUAGGGAUACCCGCUGAACUUAAGC